GAUGAACGCUGGCGGCGUGCUUAACACAUGCAAGUCGAACGGUGAAGCAGAGCUUGCUCUGUGGAUCAGUGGCGAACGGGUGAGUAACACGUGAGCAACCUGCCCCGGACUCUGGGAUAAGCGCUGGAAACGGCGUCUAAUACCGGAUACGAGAUUCCACCGCAUGGUGAGUUUCUGGAAAGAUUUUUUGGUCUGGGAUGGGCUCACGGCCUAUCAGCUUGUUGGUGAGGUAAUAGCUCAGCAAGGCGUCGACGGGUAGCCGGCCUGAGAGGGUGACCGGCCACACUGGGACUGAGACACGGCCCAGACUCCUACGGGAGGCAGCAGUGGGGAAUAUUGCACAAUGGGCGGAAGCCUGAUGCAGCAACGCCGCGUGAGGGAUGACGGCCUUCGGGUUGUAAACCUCUUUUAGCAGGGAAGAAGUGAAAGUGACGGUACCUGCAGAAAAAGCGCCGGCUAACUACGUGCCAGCAGCCGCGGUAACAC
rnacentral:rRNA from 1 species